rnacentral:rRNA from 1 species
UGAGGAAUAUUGGUCAAUGGACGAGAGUCUGAACCAGCCAAGUAGCGUGCAGGAUGACGGCCCUAUGGGUUGUAAACUGCUUUUGUUUGGGAAUAAUCGACAUUACGUGUAAUGUUUUGCAUGUACCAUUCGAAUAAGGACCGGCUAAUUCCGUGCCAGCAGCCGCGGUAAUACGGAAGGUCCAGGCGUUAUCCGGAUUUAUUGGGUUUAAAGGGGGUGUAGGCGGUUGGUUAAGCGUGUUGUGAAAUGUAGAUGCUCAACAUCUGACUUGCAGCGCGAACUGGCUGACUUGAGUACACACAACGUAGGCGGAAUUCAUGGUGUAGCGGUGAAAUGCUUAGAUAUCAUGAAGAACUCCGAUUGCGAAGGCAGCUUACGGGAGUGUUACUGACGCUUAAGCUCGAAGGUGCGGGUAUCGAACAGG